UACGUAGGGGGCAAGCGUUGUCCGGAAUUAUUGGGCGUAAAGAGCGCGUAGGCGGUCCGAUAAGUCGGCUGUGAAAGUCAGGGGCUCAACCCUUGGAAGCCGGCCGAUACUGUCGGACUAGAGUCCGGAAGAGGCGAGUGGAAUUCCCGGUGUAGUGGUGAAAAUGCGUAGAUAUCGGGAGGAACACCAGUGGCGAAGGCGACUUCCUGGCCUGUUCUUGACGCUGAGGCG
rnacentral:rRNA from 1 species